rnacentral:ncRNA from 1 species
AAGUGAGGACGACCUCACCGCUCGAGAAUCACCGGGGACGACCCC